ensembl:lncRNA
GCCUCUUCUGAUGCAAAGACUAUUCAGUUAAGCAAAGCAGAGCGGGUCAUCACUCUGGUCUGUGUGUCAGAGGCAAUCCAGAUAUUAAUGACAUUAAUUUCUCAGACUGUUCUUAACGGUUGUGAAUCCAGUCUGUUCUAGUAGAGAAUGGUUAUCAUUUAUCUCAUGCUUGGUUAUCUCCUCUCUGGUAAGCACUCACCUACAUUUAUGUAUAUAUGUCUAUAUUUUCUUGUUCUCUGUUUGUAUAUGUGCCAGUUUAGCUCUAAAUAAUUCGCUCUAUAUUCUGAUAUCGUAGCUGGUACUGACUGCCUGUGUUACUGUUGAGUUUUUGAAAUGUACCAUCACAGGGUAAACUAUGGCAGAUGGGGGAAAAGGAAAAUUGUACAUCUGGAAAUGUCAUGUCGCAGCUAAUGUGCCUGAACAUUGCCUGCCAAUAAAAUGCAAAAUGAGAUGCAUUGGAAAAAUGUUCCUGACGUUAUUUUUUUUCAUCUGUUUUUCUCAUAGAUACUUAUGCGAAAUGUGAAAACAGCACUUUGUGUAAUGGUUAGUCCUCACUUUGUUUUUAUUUGUUUUGUUUGUUUGUUUUUUAUAAAUCCUGUGAACUUGAAUAGACUGCAACUGGUAGAGAGGUGUGAUAACAGCCUAAGGUUGUGUCUGACACUAAAAUGAAAUAUAAAUUAAAUAUUGAUAAGCUUUUUUUUUCUUUGAUAAUUGUGUAUCUCUAAAAUUAAAUCUUUAAGAGUAAAGAAAGUCGACCAGAUUACGUUUAAAUUUCUUUUUUUUAAUAAUGCUGAAUGUGACAGUGUUCAUUCUUCUUCAUUUUUUUUCUCUUUAGGAGCAACAUUUAAACAAUGCACUGAAUGUAACAUUUGAGAAUACCUUUGUCUGAAGCAAUGGAUUAUAACAGAGCACACUCUAAUUACCUAACAUUAUUUAUUGUUGCUUUCCUCGCUUUUCAUGUUUACUCUGCCCAUCAGAUGAAGUGUUCAUCAGCAGCGAGCCAUCCAGCCCAAAUGAGGGUGACGACGUCACUCUCACAUGCAAUGAAAAAUGUGAAAAUUCAACUGUGACUUUUCAGUGGAAGAAAAAUAAGGCGGUCAAAGAAAAAGAAAAUAAUAAGACCUUUCUUAUCCAAAGUGCCCUUUCAAUUUCUGACAUAUACAUCUGCUCAGUAAAGUGCUCCCGUUACUGUUGUGAUUCUAAACCAUACACACUGUCUGUAAAAAGUAAGUCCAUCCAUCUGUAUACUUCUGUUAUAUGUUAUGAUUUUAGAAAUGUGUAUAAUGGCAUGCUAUCAACAGCCCUUGAUACCAUGUGUCUUCACUUCCUGUGUAUUUGUCUAUGUGUGUGUCAUUGUCCAGACAACACUGUGAUCAUCUUGGUGGUCUGUGGUGUUGCAGCUUUGGCCCUUGUUUUGAUUAUGGGACUGAUUAUGAAGUGUAAGCUGAAAAGAGACAGUGGUAAGAGCUCAUUUUAAGAUGUCUGUGGUAUUAGACAACAAUAAGAAAGAAAGAAAGAAAGAAAGAAAGAAAGAAAGAAAGAAAGAAAGAAAGAAAGAAAGAAAGAAGUUUUUCUAGUUUUAACUAACUUAACUAUCAUGAUAUGACUAUCAAUAAAAUACAACAAAUUUUGAUGCUUAUUAUGAAUGUCUGGGUGAAAACAGGCUGUUUUUGCCGCAUUACAAGUAAUUGUGCGAGGCUAAGCUAACAGGCUGGUGCCUUCAGUUACAACUUUGAACAAUAUCGUUGAUGAUCUUGAAUCUAUCUACACAUCAGAACUCAGAAUGACACAUCUGACUGAUUUGAAUGCUCUCUCUCUGCAGAUAAACACAGGGAGAGGGUGAGACAGAGACAGGCUGGACAGGCUGCUGGUGGGCCAUAUCCUGUCACACCCAGAGAGUCCUAAAAAGAAAACAUUCUAUCAUAUUUUGAUAUAAUAAAUUCUGAUCUUAUGCAACAUAAUAUAUAUUUAUCUUUUUGAUAUUUCAGACUUUUGAAUGCUCACAAAUUGAAUAAAUACUCUUUAAUCUCUGUUUUUGAGUGCAUGUGUGCGUGUUUAAUCAGUUAAAGUCACACUUUUCCACAAUGUAGCGUUGCAUUUCUGUUAGUUUGCUCAGUUUAAAAAAAAAAGAACCUAGAAAUGUUUUAAUCCACACACAGGAUUGGCAUGCUCGCACUAAUCCUGCUGAAUGCUCCACUCACAGUGGCACACACUGCUCAGCUUUACAGUGGCUUGCAUGUAAUGGAUAUAUGGGAGUGUAAUGCUGUCUACUCCUAUCCAUGAGAGGGAUGAAUGUGGGAUUUGAAGAUUGACUUAUGAACAUAGUAAUAGCGUUAGGUGCCUCGAUUCAAUGUCAGGAUGCAAUGAUUUGAAGUUUAAGUGUUAAGCUCGGUCUUCAUGCUGCCAGAGUGCCUGGCAUUAGCAGUGUUUUGGGGGGGUUCCCCUCCCGGCCAUAUGGCAAAAACUUAUUUAUCC